AAACAAAUACAACUUUCAACAACGGAUCUCUUGGCUCUCGCAUCGAUGAAGAACGCAGCGAAAUGCGAUAAGUAAUGUGAAUUGCAGAAUUCAGUGAAUCAUCGAAUCUUUGAACGCACCUUGCGCUCCUUGGUAUUCCGAGGAGCAUGCCUGUUUGAGCGUCGUGAA
rnacentral:rRNA from 1 species